rnacentral:rRNA from 1 species
GACGAACGCUGGCGGCGUGCUUAACACAUGCAAGUCGAACGCUGAAGACCUGGCUUUUGUUGGGUUGGAUGAGUGGCGAACGGGUGAGUAACACGUGAGUAACCUGCCCUCUUCUUUGGGAUAACGCCCGGAAACGGGUGCUAAUACUGGAUAUUCCCUGGCCUUCGCAUGGGGGUUGGUGGAAAGGUUUGUUCUGGUGGGGGAUGGGCUCUCGGCCUAUCAGCUUGUUGGUGGGGUGAUGGCCUACCAAGGCUUUGACGGGUAGCCGGCCUGGGAGGGUGACCGGUCACAUUGGGACUGAGAUACGGCCCAGACUCCUACGGGAGGCAGCAGUGGGGAAUAUUGCACAAUGGGCGAAAGCCUGAGGCAGCGACGCCGCGUGAGGGAUGGAGGCCUUCGGGUUGUAAACCUCUUUCGCUAAUGGUCAAGCCGCAACUAGGGGUUGUGGUGAGGGUAGUGGGUAAAGAAGCGCCGGCUAACUACGUG